AGAGUAUCUGUAAGGAUGGUAAUCUGC
rnacentral:piRNA from 1 species